UUUUAAGUGAACUUGGUGCACGUGGCAUUCAAGACAGCAAAGUUUAAGAGCAUCACAGGGACCCAAGUGGUUGAACAGCACAGAAAACAUUGUUUGAGCAGUGAAAGUGCGAUCCAAAGCAGAUGAUUUUAACAGCACCAAGAGACAAACAGUUCAGCGGCACAGAGAACAGACGCUGAUGAAGAACGGAUGUCCGAGGACCUUGCUGCUCAAAAAAUGAAGAUCUACAGCAUCAUGUCCAGCUCAGCAGAGGGGCCGAGCGAUGUUGGUGUCGUCAUUGAGGGAGUGAAAGUUCUCACCACUCUGGGUACCUUUGCCAGGGCUUGCUGCAUGCUCCUUGGGCUGACUUAUGCACUAAAUCUGGCCUACCCUAAGGAGCUCAGAUAUACAUUUGAAAUCUUCCAGAAGCUCCUUCUGGAGCUGGACUGUUCGAAGCAGUCCCCAAAGCUGCACACUUUGAAGAGUAAGUUGUUGGACUAAGGAAAUGCCGAACUGGACACUUGAGCUGAGGCGGUGCAAUGGACACUUGACUUCAGUUUUUCAAAACUUAAUGACUUAAAGAUUUACCUUUUAAUUUCUCCAAACACUACUUUUUCAAGCAGGUUGACACACGCACAAAAAAGUCAAAAUGUGUUAUGCCAUCAUCGGUUGAUUUGUUGAUAUCUGAUGUGUCUGUAGAUGUGUUUGAAGCUGUGAACGAAACAUAACAGUUAUAUCUACUGUGCCGUUUAGCAAACUUAUGCUAAGACCGUGCGAUGGACACUUGAGCUGAGGCAUUGCGAUGUGUACAUUGUGUAGUGGCCAACAACCUUAUGCCACAUGGACUAGGUGAGAGUUUAAUAGGGCCGUCCAUUUGUAGAUUUUGUCUUGGGCAUUCUUCACAAUAUCAGACACAUGAAGGUAUAAUUCCAAAGGAAUUAGCAUUGUGUUUUCAGAUAUUUACAAAGAAAAAGUACUUCAGUUUGUCUGAACUUAAUGACUUAAUUGGACAUUUUCCUUUUAAGGGAUCAGAUAAA